rnacentral:rRNA from 1 species
GACAGAGGGUGCAAACGUUGUUCGGAAUUACUGGGCGUAAAGCGCGUGUAGGCGGCUAAGUAAGUCGGGCGUGAAAUCCCACGGCUCAACCGUGGAAGUGCACUCGAAACUGCAUAGCUAGAGUCCUGGAGAGGAAGGUGGAAUGCUUGGUGUAGAGGUGAAAUUCGUAGAUAUCGGGAGGAACACCGGUGGCGAAGGCGGCGACCUGGGUCGAUACUGACGCUGAUGCGCGAAAGCGUGGGGAGCAAACAGG